CCCUGACUGACCCAGCCCCGCCACGUCCAAGGUUCCCGCCCUCUGGAGGAAGCCGCGCAAUCACUCCGGGGGCGGGGAGAGACAGACAACUGAGAGGAAGGAGGUACCACGGGCACUCUCUCGCGAGAGGGCCGCAGAGCCGCCUUUGACGGGGGCGUGUACCUGGAGAGCAACGGUAAGGACGGAGCCGACGGCUCCGGCGUCGGGUCGGUUCCGGCAUCGACGUAUCGUUUGGUCGCCCCAGAGAGGAGACAGGUUUCUUCAGCUUGCCGCUGAGGAUGUGGCAUCGGCUGCGCUCACCGCCGCCGCCUCUGUGAACUGCGGGAGUUGGGACAGCGGCCAGGGCUAGAUGGGUGGGACGCGAGUCCUCGCCGAAAGCUUGCCCUGUGCGGGGCGCACUUGGAGGCGAGCUCUGGGCCGUGGCGAGUUUUGCAGCCUAAGGUCUUGGCAGGCGCAUUGCUGUGGGCUGCCGGAGAGCAGGCUGGAGUUCGAGACCGCCCACCGGAGAGCAGGCGAGAGUUCGAGGCCUAGUGACAUCUGUUUGAGCAGAUGAAUAUGCCAUUGGGAAAGUCAAGGACUGUCGGAGAGGAGGACAUGGCAGACCUUAACUAAAGUGAGGGGGACAGUAGAGCACUAAAAGUUCUAGGAAAGGAGAUGAACUGCUUAUUCCAUCAGAUGAAAAUAUAGUCAGAACAGAUGAGUAGUAGAACUUAAACAUGCCCGGAGUUGCCAGGAAUUUGCAAAAGCCUUGAUAUAAUUCCUGUUGCUGUAGAAAGACUUUCUACAGUCACUAAUA
rnacentral:lncRNA from 1 species